CAGUCCCGGGCGCCAUCUUGGGACUGCCGCCACACCCGCUCCCCACAACUACUGUUUCUGUAGCUUUGCUUCAUUGAAGGAAUAAUCACUGAAUAACUGUUACUCCUGGAGGGAUUCUCAGCCCACAAGCAUCCAGCCUACAAGCACAGAAGCCAAGCACUGGAGAAGCAAACGGUGUCUUUGAGAUCUUGUCGGCUCACAGGAGAAGAAGCCACGCGAGCCGAAGGCCAACACGGCCACAUCACUCACACAGUCUCGCCUGGUACACUUUACCAUAAACCCAAGCAAGAGCAGAGAUUAAUAAAUUCUCAUGAACCCUAGCGGUGGACUCUAAACGAAGCCUGACCGAAAUGGCAUCUGCCGGGGGACCCUGGAGCAACCUUUCCUUCAGGCUGUGCCAGCAAACAGGUGCGUGGGCCUCCAGAAACAAGAAGCGAAUGUGCUGGGGUCAAAU
rnacentral:sRNA from 1 species